GACGAGCGCUGGCGGCGUGCUUAACACAUGCAAGUCGAACGGAAAGGCCCUGCUUUUGUGGGGUGCUCGAGUGGCGAACGGGUGAGUAACACGUGAGUAACCUGCCCUUGACUUUGGGAUAACUUCAGGAAACUGGGGCUAAUACCGGAUAGGAGCUCCUGCUGCAUGGUGGGGGUUGGAAAGUUUCGGCGGUUGGGGAUGGACUCGCGGCUUAUCAGCUUGUUGGUGGGGUAGUGGCUUACCAAGGCUUUGACGGGUAGCCGGCCUGAGAGGGUGACCGGCCACAUUGGGACUGAGAUACGGCCCAGACUCCUACGGGAGGCAGCAGUGGGGAAUAUUGCACAAUGGGCGGAAGCCUGAUGCAGCAACGCCGCGUGCGGGAUGACGGCCUUCGGGUUGUAAACCGCUUUCGCCUGUGACGAAGCGUGAGUGACGGUAAUGGGCAAAGAAGCACCGGCUAACUACGUG
rnacentral:rRNA from 1 species